rnacentral:rRNA from 1 species
AGAGUAUGAUCCUGGCUCAGAUUGAACGCUGGCGGCAGGCCUAACACAUGCAAGUCGAACGCGAAAAUUCCUUCGGGAAUGAGUAGAGUGGCGGACGGGUGAGUAACGCGUGGGAAUCUACCUGGUAGCGGGGGAUAACUCGGGGAAACUCGAGCUAAUACCGCAUACGCCCUACGGGGGAAAGGAGGGGAUCUUCGGACCUUUCACUAUCAGAUGAGCCCGCGUUAGAUUAGCUUGUUGGUGAGGUAAUGGCUCACCAAGGCGACGAUCUAUAGCUGGUCUGAGAGGAUGAUCAGCCACACUGGGACUGAGACACGGCCCAGACUCCUACGGGAGGCAGCAGUGGGGAAUAUUGCGCAAUGGGCGAAAGCCUGACGCAGCCAUGCCGCGUGUGUGAAGAAGGCCUUCGGGUUGUAAAGCACUUUCAAUAGGGAGGAAAACUUGUAGGUUAAUACCCUGCAAGCCUGACGUUACCUAUAGAAGAAGCACCGGCUAACUCCGUGCCAGCAGCCGCGGUAAUACGGAGGGUGCGAGCGUUAAUCGGAAUUACUGGGCGUAAAGCGCGCGUAGGCGGCUUCGUCAGUCAGAUGUGAAAGCCCC